rnacentral:tRNA from 1 species
GGACAGGUGGCAGAGUGGUCUAUUGCGCACGCUUGGAAAGCGUGUGUACUGUUAAAGGUACCGAGAGUUCGAAUCUCUCCCUGUCCGCCA